rnacentral:rRNA from 1 species
UGGGGAAUUUUGGACAAUGGGCGCAAGCCUGAUCCAGCCAUGCCGCGUGCGGGAAGAAGGCCUUCGGGUUGUAAACCGCUUUUGUCGGGGACGAAAAGUUCCACGUUAAUACCGUGGGACGAUGACGGUACCCGAAGAAUAAGCACCGGCUAACUACGUGCCAGCAGCCGCGGUAAUACGUAGGGUGCAAGCGUUAAUCGGAAUUACUGGGCGUAAAGCGUGCGCAGGCGGUCGUGCAAGACAGGUGUGAAAUCCCCGGGCUUAACCUGGGAACUGCACUUGUGACUGCACGACUAGAGUACGGCAGAGGGGGAUGGAAUUCCGCGUGUAGCAGUGAAAUGCGUAGAUAUGCGGAGGAACACCGAUGGCGAAGGCAGUCCCCUGGGCCUGUACUGACGCUCAUGCACGAAAGCGUGGGGAGCAAACAGG